UACGAAGGGAGCUAGCGUUGUUCGGAAUCACUGGGCGUAAAGCGCACGUAGGCGGACCUGCAAGUCGGGGGUGAAAGCCCGGAGCUCAACUCCGGAACUGCCUUUAAGACUGCAUCGCUAGAAUCAUGGAGAGGUGAGUGGAAUUCCGAGUGUAGAGGUGAAAUGCGUAGAUAUCUGGAGGAACACCGGUGGCGAAGGCGGCAUCCUGGACCGACACUGACACUGAGGAGCGAAAGCCAGGGGAGCAAACGGG
rnacentral:rRNA from 1 species